GUAGUGCCGAAGAGUCCCAAACUAGGACGAAACAGCUGUCCAGUAC
rnacentral:hammerhead_ribozyme from 1 species